GGAUCCGUAGUGUAGUGGUUAGCAUGUCUGCUUUACACACAGAAGGUCCUGAGUUCACGCCCCAGUGGAGCCA
rnacentral:tRNA from 1 species